GCGGUGCUGAUUAGGGGUUGUUCUUACUCUCCCUUGCAAUUAUUUUGUACUUGUAGGGGUGCAUGUAGGCACGGUCCUUGUGAUGCGGUACGUGAUGGUGUGUGAGUGGUAUUUGGUUUGUGUGGUUGGCGGGCUCUUUGCUUGUGCAUUGGACCGUUCACCAACAUACCUUUUCAUUGUAUGCUGCAAGUGCACCAUUUUGCCUUGGGCGACGUGUGGUCCCUAUGUUGGAUUCCGAUUAACGGUAUUGUUGUUGUCCCUUUAAAGAGUGAUAUUCGCUCUACGUCCGUAAAAGGAGGUCGAGCGGACCAUGAAACUUGACUCGUUAUCCUCCUGUUUUGUGAAAACAAGCAUGAUAGGGUUGGAUUAUGAUCUCAAGUUGGGCCCUAGGAUACAGAAAGUUGUGUGGGAGUUGAUGUAAAAACGUCGCAAACCCAAAGCGUUGGUACGCUAAUGAUGGAUGACAUUCGAGUGUGUUGUGAUUCUUUCAUUCUAGAAAGGUUCAUGCUCGCCGAUGUCGACCAAGGAGUGCUACCUGGUUGAUCCUGCCAGUAGUCAUAUGCUUGUCUCAAAGAUUAAGCCAUGCAUGUGUAAGUAUGAACUAAUUCAGACUGUGAAAC
rnacentral:misc_RNA from 1 species